AGAGCGAACGCUGGCGGCAGGCUUAACACAUGCAAGUCGAGCGGGCGUAGCAAUACGGCAGCGGCAGACGGGAGAGUAACACGUGGGAACGCGCCCUUCGGUUCGGAAUAACUCAGGGAAACUUGGGCUAAUACCGGAUACGCCCUUACGGGGAAAGAUUUAUUGCCGAAGGAACGGCCCGCGUCCGAUUAGCUUGUUGGUGAGGUAACGGCUCACCAAGGCGACGAUCGGUAGCUGGUCUGAGAGGAUGACCAGCCUCACUGGGACUGAGACACGGCCCAGACUCCUACGGGAGGCAGCAGUGGGGAAUAUUGCACAAUGGGCGCAAGCCUGAUGCAGCGACGCCGCGUGAGGGAUGGACGGUCCGUUCGGGUUGUAACCGUCUUUCACGUACCGAGAAGCGCAAGUGACGGUAGGUACGAGAAGAGCGACCGGCCGACUACGCGCCAGC
rnacentral:rRNA from 1 species